rnacentral:rRNA from 1 species
UCCGUAGGUGAACCUGCGGAAGGAUCAUUACGAAAUUCGGCGCGCUUCGGCGCUGCCUUAUUCACCCACCCUUUGUCUACGUGUACCUCUAUAGCUUCCUCGGCGGGCUCGCCCGCCGCCAGGAACCCACGAAGCCCCUUGCAUUAUACACGAAAACUUCUGAUAACAAACCUAAAUUAUUACAACUUUCAACAAUGGAUCUCUUGGUUCUGGCAUCGAUGAAGAACGCAGCGAAAUGCGAUAAGUAGUGUGAAUUGCAGAAUUCAGUGAAUCAUCGAAUCUUUGAACGCACAUUGCGGCCAUAGGUAUUCCUUUGGCCAUGCCUGUUCGAGCGUCAUUUACACCCUCAAGCCUAGCUUGGUGUUGGGCGUCUGUCCCGCCGAUUUCGCGCGCGGACUCGCCUCAAAGUCAUUGGCGGCGGUCGUGCCGGCUCCUCGCGCAGCACAUUUGCGCUUCUCGGAGGCCCGGCGGAUCCGCGCUCCAGCAAAGACCUUUCAUGACUUGACCUCGGAUCAGGUAGGGAUACCCGCUGAACUUAAGCAUAUCAAUAAGCGGAGGA